UACAGACUCAUACAAUGAACACCAGCAUGAUCACAGUGGACCAAUGGGAACAAUUUAUCCCUUUGGCCCACAGAGAUCAUUUAUCAGAAACAUCACAAGAGAAUUCAGAAGUGUUUUACGGCUCAAACAGUCAAGAAAGAUUAUCCUGUUUCUUGGAUUAAAUGUCCUUGGUACAAUCAUCUUAUUCAUUUGGUGCCAUGCAACAAACAGUAUGGCACUUACAGCAUACACAUACCUCACUAUUUAUGACAUCUUCAGGUAAGCUAUAAAGAAUGAC